rnacentral:rRNA from 1 species
UACGGGGGGGGCAAGCGUUGUUCGGAAUUACUGGGCGUAAAGGGCUCGUAGGCGGCCAACUAAGUCAGACGUGAAAUCCCUCGGCUUAACCGGGGAACUGCGUCUGAUACUGGAUGGCUCGAGUUUGGGAGAGGGAUGCGGAAUUCCAGGUGUAGCGGUGAAAUGCGUAGAUAUCUGGAGGAACACCGGUGGCGAAGGCGGCAUCCUGGACCAACACUGACGCUGAUGAGCGAAAGCCAGGG